UACAGAGGUCCCAAGCGUUGUUCGGAUUCACUGGGCGUAAAGGGUGCGUAGGCGGUCGGGUAAGUCUGAUGUGAAAGCUCACAGCUUAACUGUGAAACUGCAUUGGAUACUAUCCGGCUCGAGGAAUGGAGGGGAGACUGGAAUACUUGGUGUAGCAGUGAAAUGCGUAGAUAUCAAGUGGAACACCAGUGGCGAAGGCGAGUCUCUGGGCCGAUAUUGACGCUGAGGAGCGAAAGCGUGGGGAGCGAACAGG
rnacentral:rRNA from 1 species